rnacentral:rRNA from 1 species
AUUGAACGCUGGCGGCAGGCCUAACACAUGCAAGUCGAGCGGAUGAAGGGAGCUUGCUUCUGGAAUCAGCGGCGGACGGGUGAGUAAUGCCUAGGAAUCUGCCUGGUAGUGGGGGAUAACGUCCGGAAACGGGCGCUAAUACUGCAUACGUCCUGAGGGAGAAAGUGGGGGUUCUUCGGACCUCACGCUACCAGAUGAGCCUAGGUCGGAUUAGCUAGUUGGUGGGGUAAAGGCCUACCAAGGCGACGAUCCGUAACUGGUCUGAGAGGAUGAUCAGUCACACUGGAACUGGGACACGGUCCAGACUCCUACGGGAGGCAGCAGUGGGGAAUAUUGGACAAUGGGCGAAAGCCUGAUCCAGCCAUGCCGCGUGUGUGAAGAAGGUCUUCGGAUUGUAAAGCACAUUAAGUUGGGAGGAAGGGCAGUAAGUUAAUACCUUGCUGUUGUGACGUUACCAACAGAAUAAGCACCGGCUAACUUCGUG